rnacentral:rRNA from 1 species
AACGGCCGUACCAUGCUGAAUAUACCGGUUCUUGUUAGAUCACCGAAGUGAAGCAUCAUUGGUCGUGGUCAGUACUUGGGUGGGUGACCACCUGGGAACACCGCGUGCCGU